rnacentral:rRNA from 1 species
GUGAGGAAUAUUGGUCAAUGGGCGGGAGCCUGAACCAGCCAAGUCGCGUGAAGGAAGAAGGAGCUAUGGUUCGUAAACUACUUUUGCAGGGGAAUAAAGUGCAGGACGUGUCCUGUCUUGUAUGUACCCUGAGAAUAAGGAUCGGCUAACUCCGUGCCAGCAGCCGCGGUAAUACGGAGGAUCCGAGCGUUAUCCGGAGUUAUGGGGUUUAAAGGGUGCGUGGGUGGUUUGAUAAGUCAGCGGUGAAAGUUUGCAGCUUAACUGUAAGAAUGCCGUUGGAACUGUCGGACUUGAGUGUAAAUGAUGUAGGCGGAAUGCGUGGUGUAGCUGUGACAUGCAUAACUAUCACGAAGAACUCCGAUUGCGAACGCUGCUUACUACGCUACAACUGGCACUGUAGCACGAAAGCGUGGGUAUCAAACACGAUUAGAUACUCCGGUAGUCC